GAUGAACGCUGGCGGCGUGCCUAAUACAUGCAAGUCGAGCGAACAGAUGAGGAGCUUGCUCCUAUGACGUUAGCGGCGGACGGGUGAGUAACACGUGGAUAACCUACCUAUAAGACUGGGAUAACUUCGGGAAACCGGAGCUAAUACCGGAUAAUAUAUUGAACCGCAUGGUUCAAUAGUGAAAGACGGUUUUGCUGUCACUUAUAGAUGGAUCCGCGCCGCAUUAGCUAGUUGGUAAGGUAACGGCUUACCAAGGCAACGAUGCGUAGCCGACCUGAGAGGGUGAUCAGCCACACUGGAACUGAGACACGGUCCAGACUCCUACGGGAGGCAGCAGUAGGGAAUCUUCCGCAAUGGGCGGAAGCCUGACGGAGCAACGCCGCGUGAGUGAUGAAGGUCUUCGGAUCGUAAAACUCUGUUAUUAGGGAAGAACAAAUGUGUAAGUAACUAUGCACGUCUUGACGGUACCUAAUCAGAAAGCCACGGCUAACUACGUG
rnacentral:rRNA from 1 species